AAGGCCCCUAGGGAAAACUGGACUUCGGGUGCAGCCUAGCCGGGGUGAUGGAUGAACAGUGACAGCUCCUGCCGAAGAGUAAACACAGAGAAAUAUAGAUAUACCUUCUCCAACACCUGCAGCAAUUGUUUCUGCAGAAUGAGGUUGAAGAAAGCAGCAGUUGCCUCCAUCUGAGUGGAGGACCAAUCUUCACAGACAGGAAGCCAGCCGCUAUGCUGUGAUGAUGCUCAAGCACGCCUGUGGAGAGAUCCAUACAAAGAGGAACUGAGGCCUCCUGCCAGCAGUCAGCACCAGUUUGCCAGUCCUAUGGAUGAACAACCUUGAGAGCAGAUCCUCCAGUUCUCGUCAAGCUUCAGAUGACUGCAGCCCUGGCUAACAUCAACCACAUGAGAGAUCCCAAAGCAGAACCAAGUUUUUGACCCACAGGAAGA